rfam:Trichuris suis C382783.1, whole genome shotgun sequence.
GCCCAUGUAGCUCAGUCGGUAGAGCGUUAGGCUUUUAACCUAAAUGUCCAGGGUUC